UGGGGAAUAUUGGACAAUGGGCGAAAGCCUGAUCCAGCCAUGCCGCGUGUGUGAAGAAGGUCUUCGGAUUGUAAAGCACUUUAAGUUGGGAGGAAGGGCAGUAAGCGAAUACCUUGCUGUUUUGACGUUACCGACAGAAUAAGCACCGGCUAACUCUGUGCCAGCAGCCGCGGUAAUACAGAGGGUGCAAGCGUUAAUCGGAAUUACUGGGCGUAAAGCGCGCGUAGGUGGUUCGUUAAGUUGAAUGUGAAAGCCCCGGGCUCAACCUGGGAACGGCAUCCAAAACUGGCGAGCUAGAGUAGGGCAGAGGGUGGUGGAAUUUCCUGUGUAGCGGAGAAAUGCGUAGAUAUAGGAAGGAACACCAGUGGCGAAGGCGACCACCUGGGCUCAUACUGACACUGAGGUGCGAAAGCGUGGGGAGCAAACAGG
rnacentral:rRNA from 1 species